AUAUGUUAAAUGGAUAUUAUGCUUGCCGCAGCAUGCCUACGGAUCAGUAAAAUGUCCACGUGUACAAGUAAGUUGACUCAUGUAGCCUUUGGAUACAGAUUGAAGUUUUUGAUGCUUCUGUCAUCUCAUUGAUAUAGGUGAGCAGUUGCUUAAUAACUUGCUUUCAAGGGUUUGUGGAGUAAUUUCUAAGCACAUAAACUGGGAAAGUUUGCUUUGUAAUUAGUUUUUGAAGCAGAUUAAAAAAGAUUUCGUGUAAAAAAUGCAUUUUUAUGAUUUAAGCCCUGUGAUCAUUGUGUUUACUGAUGAUAUUAAUUAAGUACAUAUAAAAAUCUUGUAUUAAGUACCUUUGCAUUGGUUAAAAUAUAAAUAUAUUACUAUCUAAGGUGGACAAAUUAGUGAAUGAACAAACUGUCAGAGAUAUAAUUGACAUAUUUGGUAGUCACAAAUUAAAAUUUUAGUUAUGAUUUACCAAGGAUUACUCAAGUAUUAAUUAACUGACAGCUAGAACACUGCUUUUGACAUACUAGAAUUUCCUUUGGUUAAUCUUAUAUACAUUAUAGUCCGUUUCUUCCUCUUUAUAUCAAAAUUUUAGCUUUUGAAGUGUUUUGACAUAUGGUAAACGUCAAUAAAAAGGCAGACAUUUUCAGUUUUUAGAAAUGUAAAUAUAUCAUUCUGUAAGAAAUUCCAAAAUGUUGGCUAUGGGACAAUGGAAACCACAUGUAGUUUUUCUGCAAAUCUCAAUAUACAAGUAACUGCUUUCAACACAUCUUUUCUGUCUCCAGUUUUAAUAUUAACUGCUUGAUUAAAUGUUAAACGGAGCAAAGGCCACUAUGUCAGGCGUCACCAAUAUUCAUAUUGCUUCCAAAGGAUAGAAAACCCUUAGUUUUGGAUAUUUACCAUUGUGUGUGUGUGUGUGUGUGUGUGUGUGUGUGUGUCUUAGAGAUAAUUAACUAGUUUUGGGAACACUCCCUAUUUGUAAUCCAAAAUUUUAGAGUUGGGGAUUUCUUGGCCUGAAUGACGUUAUCAAAGUUUUGUUUUGUUUUAAGUUACUCGGUGGCAGCUUUUUUUUUAGAUUCACCGUUUAGAACAUGUAUUUUGGCAAUUUGUUCUAAACAGUGUAUUUUUUUUUCUAGAUUCAGAUUUUUUUCUGCUUUCAACGUUAUGUUUAUAGAUAUUAUAAGUGUUCUGAUCAUAAUAUAUCUGUUCAUAAUCAUCCGUUAAUGACCAUAGCAUUUUUAUUUCCAUAAACAAACUACCAAUAUUUUAAAUGGAAGUGGAAGAAAUUCACAUUUAUAUAACACAUUUUAAUUUCACUUAGAAGGUAGAACUGAAUCCAGAAAACUAUUUGUGUGUGUGUAUGUGUGUGUGUGUGUGUGUGUACGUGUGUGUGUGGUACUGGGAUGGAAUCUGGGGCCUCUCUUAUGUACUGGGCAAGCACUCUACUUCUGAGCGACAUCCAGCCUUGCCAAGCUACUCCUGAGGAGGGAUGACUUCAACUUAGUAGGAUAUACCUUAUAAAUGAAUGUGUAUGCUUGGAAUCAGUUUUUCUAAGUGGAGAAACGGUAUUAUGUUAGAGGUCAGAGACUCACAGAGUAAAUGUGUUUAGGUUUGCUUUCUUUGUAUGAAGUUUUAAAAUGAUGCAUCAAUCUAUAUCCCCAAAAGAAGAGUGCAGUUUUUUUCUGCAUAAGUAGAAUUGGAAGUCUACAUUUCGCUUUUUGUAAAAACAUGGCAAUUCUGUUUCUCAAGAGGCCAAUCAUACACAGGAAAGUUUUUAAAAAGGUCAAUUUUCUGCAUAAUUCUAAGUUUUGCAACUUGUAUUAUACAUUUUUGUUGCUCUGUUGUUACUUACAGAUAUUUAUGUGUUGUUUCAAAUUUUUCUUUCUGCUAAAUUCAUGAAUCAUUCACAUACGCAUGGAAAUAGUACUAAAUCAAUACAUUCCCUAGUAACACAAGAUUUCUAUAUCUCUGAUAUUUUAGAAUUUCUUCCUCAUUAAUUAUGAGCAAAAGCACACAAUAUGCAUUAUACAAGCAUGAUGAUCAGAGGUGGUCAGAUGGAAAGGUUGAAUAUAGAAUAAGAAAUUUCUGUAGUUUAAAUAGAAAACAAAUGGCAAUUUAUGCCUCAGAAAUGUUUGUGUCUUUAUGAUAUAAAACACUGGUAACCUCAAGAUAAAAUAAUGCCUAGUUUUAUGUAUUUCAAAAAAUUGUGGGAGGGGCUAGAGAUGUGGCUCAGUGAUAGAGCACUUGCCUAGCAUGUACAAGACCCUGGGUUCAAACCCCAGCACUGGGGGAAAAAUUAUUGGAGGAUUCUUUCUAGAUCCUGGACAAGUAAGGACUCUGUUCUAAUUACUUCAUCCACUGUUAGAUUAUUCUUAAUCAAAAUGUUUUUCUGAAAUCCAGACAAAAUGUAUUCUUUCCUUUAAGAUUUUAAUCUGUUCUUACUGCUUUCAGCUGUUCAUCCAUGGAGACAGCAGGAGGUGGAGGGUUGGGGUGAGACAUGUGAAUUGAGCAUGGGGUAGUUGUAUUCUGAACAGAGUAAUUUGAAAGUUUUUGCCCUCGUGCUUUUCAAAAUAUAAUUUUUGUCAAGAUAUAAGCUCCAGUCACAUCACUAAAAAAGCCGUAUAUAUAUGAUUGACAACACUCUUACUAGACGUUUUGCAAGGUUAUAUUAAAAGAUCUAGAGUGUUGUUCAAACCUAAGAAAUACAUUUUCAAAUAAAAGACGCAAAAUAAAAAAUAUCACGGUAAAUUCCAGGAAACCUUGUACCUGAAUAGACUCCUAUAGGUAGCUAUUGUUCACUGCUUGCUGUACUAAUUUUCCCAUCAUUAACUUGUUCUAUGUAUUUGUUUUACAUUAUAAAAUUUCUGGUUAUUUGAUUUUAUACCUUUAUUUUUAUUAAUUUAUUUUUAUGUGGUGCUGAGGAUUGAACUCAGUGCCUUGCACAUGUGAGGUGAGCACUUUGCCCCUGAGCCCCAGCUCCAGCCCCUUGUUAUUUGAUUUUAAACUAGUAACUUUGAGAAUAAUUAUUCCUUUUGUCCUAGGCAAGGUAGGUAUCUGAACUGAGCUGGUUGAAAUCAAAAGAAAAAAAUCUCAGUUCUUUGUGGAGUAUUAAUUUCUUUUAUUACAUCGAAGUGGUUGUUGUAAAUAUAGAACUGUUUUCUUUAGUGCCUCUCAGAGGGUCCAGACAGAACAAAAAAAGGGCCAGCCUUCCUAUGCACUCUCUUCAACUUAGUAGUAAUUAACGUGAGUGGAAGAAGCAGAGCUUCUUGAUUUAGGAGCCCCGGGUGGUGUGAGGGUUCCUGGAACUAGGCGGUGGCUGUGUUAGGGGGUGCGCCCACACUUCUGCUUGCAAUUUCCUCCUGAGCUGACCUGGACAAACACAGGAAGGUUGGAAACAGGUUGUCAGCAACGGAUGCAUAAGGAUGCAAAUACACAGGACCCAGGAGAUGGGAAACACUUGUGAAAGAACCUGCAGUCGUCCUGACCAUGCCGGGCGAGUGGUACUGGGUAGUUUUAAAGAUUUAGUAAGUAGUGUGGGUUACUUUCAUUUGCUGCCUUCAAGUUUUUCUCUGUGGUAUGCAGUACUGAGAUGGAGUAGAUUUAAAAAGUCAGAGUGGUUUAUUUCCAUUUUAAUCAAGUCUCUAGAGCUAAAGUGUGUAAAUUAGUAGCCAAUUACCUAGUUUGCAUGCCUGUGGUAUUUCCAUGUUCUACUAUUAUGGUAAUGAAUCUGAAUAGUGAUUAGAUUGUCUUAAAUCUAUGAAAGAAUUGCAUGUCCUUUUCCUCUUAAACUGUAAGGAAAAUUUAAAACUUUAAAAGUAUUGAAAUGAAAUUAGCUUUCCUGAGAUACUUAAAGAUAGUAUCUUCAUUUAAAUGCACCUGAGACGAUUAUAGUCUUUACAGGUCUGGAAAAUGUGGAUCAGGGGUGAUUUUAAAAAUACUUUUCUUUGAAGUAUGCAGGUCAUAAUGAUAUACUUUAUUAGCUGUAAAACUGUAAGAAUCUCUCUAAUCAGCAACCUUCACCUUAUGUCCAUUGUAGUGGAUUACAUUUCUUUCACUAGCUCUUCAGUGUGUAAAAUACACAAUGAUGCGGAGACACAUGUGCACGUACCUGUCUAGGGAGAUGCAUAGUCUGAACAGAGAGGUGAGAUUCAGAUAAAUCAAGGGCACACGGUUCAACUGUUGACCCUGCUCAGCAUUUCCCAGGGGAGCUGGUAAGGGUGGGGUCCUCAGAAGCCUGGUGGGCCCUUAUCAUUUAUCUGUGGAGAAAGGGAAUGCCCUGGAGCUGUGGCUUUGUGCAGAGAGGGGGUGCCAGGCACUCAGAGAGCCUGUGGGGCUUGGGGAAGGCCGGUGGGCCUGGAGCUCAAGUGGUUUCUGUGUGAUCCUGGCUGAUCAUUGUGCUCUUGUGCUUCUCAGGAGUCUCAAGCUUGGAGAAUCCUUGUAUUCACAGGAGUGCAGUGGGGAAUUAUAGCAUAGUUCGUGGCAUGUGUGAAGCACACUCACUUCCAGAGGGAAUGCUGCAGAACAGUGUUUUAUCAAGAGUUCCGAAGUGUCGCUCUUUAGAUUUUGGUGACCACUUAGAAAACUCUUGCAAGGAGGGAGCAUUGUUUAGGUUUCUCUGGGAACUUGACACUAACCCCCUCAGCCUUUGUUACUCUCCCUCCUCCUUGCCCUCCCUCUGCUCCUUCUUCCCUCCUGGGUUCCACUCAUAGCUAUUUUAAGAAAAUUUGCAUUUUGGUGGCAUACUUUUGGAUAAAAUAGGUGAAGAAUAUCCAUGUUCUCUUGUUGAGACUUGGUAAGUAAGGAUUAUUUUUAACUUUAAGAUAAGACUUCAAUCUAAAUUUUUAUUUUCAUCCAGUGUGACUUCAUUCAGGAUGCUGAAGUGUGAGCCCUACAAGGAGAUCCCUGAUCAUCAGGCCCAGCGACCUCCUGUUCCUGCAAAUGGAGCCUGCUCCACCAGAUCUGUCCACGUCAGAGAGGAGCAGAGUGCAUCCCAAAAUGAAUUUUUUCCCUUACACUACUAUACCUGUACUCUUUUUCCUUAUUGUAAAAGCAGUUCGUUGGAUAAAAUCUGGAAAUUAUUGAUUUGAAACCUCCUCCUAUUAUCUAGAGAAACCUAAUAUUUUAAUAUUUAUCUUUCUCAUCUUCUUCUCUAUGCCUAUAUCCCUGCAAUUGUUUUUUUACAAUAUUAGAACCAUGUCAUUCAUACUAUUUUACAAUAAAGAUAGCUUUAAUUGUUUUCCAAAAAUGAAAUGGGCAUUAUAAAAAUCACAACAGUGCAGAAAAGUAAAAAGAAAAGAGUAAAAAAGGCACUUGAUUGUCCAAAGGUUAUUACUUGCCAAAGUAUUAAGGCCAUCAGGCUGCAGACUUAAACAUGGCUAGUUUAUGAUAUUAACAUCACUCUUUCAGACAUUUGCCAGAGUAUAGCUCCUCAUAAGGAUUUGUGUGAUUGUUGAUGUUUGGUAAUGUGCUUUUGUACUCAGUAAUAUCAUGUGGACAUAUUUCUGUGCCAGUAAACACAGGUUGGCUCCCAAAGUUUUGCUGACUCAUCACAUUCUACUUUAUAGACAAACCUUAAUUUCUUAAGAAUUUUCCUGCUAAUCCUGCUGUUACUACCAAUUACCCCCUGAUAAACAGUGCUGUCCUAUAGGGCACUGUAGCUAUUUGCAUAAUCUCUUAUGCUGGAUCCCUGCACGUGGUGGUGGUGGUGGAUUGAUGGCUGUGCUUGGCUGUACAGUUCCUACCUGUGCAUUAGUGAGUUCAGUUCCUUAUAAUCUUACCAACAUCAAGCAUUACCAUGUAUGUGUUUAUUUGAAAAGGUAUCUCGUUCCUGUUUUAUUUUACAUUUCUUUACUCUCAAGUGUGAACAAACAUAUCUAGAGUUUUUCAUCAACCAUUAUUCUCCCGUUGUGAAACACCUGUAUUAUUUGCCAUUUUUUUCAAUUCUGAUA
rnacentral:lncRNA from 1 species